rnacentral:lncRNA from 1 species
UGAAGCAGGGUGACGUGAAGGACGUUUGGGACUGAAUGGUGUGCAUGCUUCCCCAUGUCAGUACAUAAAACAGGACUGCAGGAGUCCCCGUAUAGAAUAAUAGAAUCGUAAAACAAUUUAUGUUGGAAAACACCCUUCAGAUCAUCAAGUCCAGCCAUCAAUCUAUCACUACCAAGUCCACCACCUAACCAAGUCCCUAAUCAUCACACUCACAUACAUCUGAAACACCACCAGGGAUGGUGACUCCACCAUUGGGUUCAACAGCUUCAUGAAGAACAGCCUUCAACAUUCUCUGUGACGCCAGCCCAGGAUGCCUGGUUCAGAGGCUUCCCUUAGAGAGUGCCCCAGAGCAGAGCAUCUGUGCUAGCAUCAGGAGGUGGGUCCUGCACUCCCAGGGACCCCUCAGCAGCUCUGCAGUACUUUAGUCAGGAUGCCACUUUGGGCAGCAAUGGCCACAGUGGUGCAGCUGUAAACAGGACACAUUGCCAUGAAGAGUCUGGAAUUUUACCGAUCUUAAGAGCUUUCAUGUGGUCAAAAUUUACUGGUGCAACAGCAACAUCAAGAUUCAGCAAAGAAUUCAUCCCAGAUCACUUCAGCAACCAGAGCUGGUGCCUUCCCAGAAAAAUGACUGCAGUAUAUAUGGCUACCUAGGCCACGGUGAGCCACGGUGCAACUACAGAUAGAUACACAUACAUAUGUGUGUAUAUGUAUGUAUAUGGACACACAUAACAGCUUUCAUUUUUGAAGUUGCUGCUCUUAACUGAACCGCUUUGUAUCUUCUUAAGAAAACAGACGUGUGAGGUGAAACAAUUCUGUAUCUCCAGGAUACUUAGAAAACAUCUGAAAAAAUGCACUGUUAUCUGCUAAAUUAAGCUAGCUCUUUCAAGGAGAAAGUCAACUUUCAGUUACUGGAGAGAAAGAACAUGAAUUCCAGAAAAGAAUGGGGGAAAUGUUUAUUGUAUUGUCCAGGGACUUUUUCACUCACCUCCCCAUGUAUUUUUGUGAGAUCCAGUUAACUAUGAGGAACAAGGGCACAUGAGCCCACCCAGUCCAAACCAUUGUGUCUUAGAGAAAUUCAUGAAAGGGCAGACUGAGAUUCUCACUGGCCAAUAUUUCCUCCAGUGCCCUGGUAUCUAAUCAGGUUGUUUUUUCUGCCUUUCUUUUUAUUGUGUGCUAUGAAUACCAUCUGCAAAAGAAAUCACAGUGCCCGUCAUUAACUGAAGCCCUUGCUGUGGACUUGGGUGCUGCUCAAACACACUACCCUGCACGAUGCCUCCCUGAGCCAGCUCCCCUCCUCACUGCCCAGUUACAGCUCUCCAGCCAUUGCUUUCCACCUGUUCUGACUAUUUUGUUGUUGUGCAGCUUCUGGUAUAAAAGAAACAGCUAUUGCUGGAGAAGAGAGUAGGAAGGUCACAAACACUGUUAUGAAAUAGUAAUUCUGUUAAGAACAAUCUGAGCAUUCAACAUCACCUACCGCUGGCCCCAGUCAAACCUCUGUUAGAGUACAACUCUGCUUCUCAGCCAAGAAAACAUUUUUCAUCAGCUUAGUUAUUUCAAAAGAAACUUGAAUGCAAAUCUGACAUUAGGUGGGGAAGCAGAUGCAUUUGGUGAGAGUCUUACAGCUGUGAAAUGAGAGUGAUGCAAUGCUAUUUUUUCAAUUGUUUUUUUCUGAUUAUUGCUUCCAGAUAUUGAAAACUGCUGUUUUCCAAUGGGAAAAUAACCAAAGCUGGAAGACAUCACUGUUAUCAUGCCUAGAUGACAAAAUAAUGCUCCUUUCCUUCCUGUCCUUCCUUUCUUUCCUUGCUUCCUUCCUUUCCUUCUUUCUUUUCCAUUUUUAGAAUAGAUUUAAGGAUUUAUAUAACUCACACCAGAAAGCAAACCCUUGUGUAUCGCUCAAGAGCUAGACAUGUAGUAAGGGCACUAAAGGGUACACGUGCACCCUGAGUCAAUUAAUUGUUUUGCCCUGAUCUGUGAGCUCAUGCUAAAGAAGACUUCAAAAUCCUUGAGUUCUGCUCUGCUUAUAUUCCAGACAGAGGUACUAACUUUGGUCAUUUCUCAUGCAGUGAGUCACAACUCCAGUCAGCCCUUCUCUCCCUUUCUCUGUCACACAUGAAAAAUCCCUGAGGCCAUCUAUCCCUAAUCAGACUGAUUAUAAUUCAGUUCCAAUUCAGCAAAUAUAAAACAACAAAAGCACUGGAACAGGACAGAAAUCUGGCCCGAAGAGCUACAAAUCUAUGAAAAAUAACACUGUUCAACAGUUGUCCAGAUUUAAUUUUAGGAUAAACAUUAGAACACAUCACCUGGGAUUGAUUUAAUAUUUGUGGUACUAAUUUAGAUCAUUUAAUUUGCAGAAUUUUUGGUUCAUCAUCUGUUCCCACAGCUCAGUCAAUACUGUGGCUCAGCUCACAAAGGGAAUUGAUCUGAAGGCCAUUCUUUACAAGACAGAUUAAUUUUUGUUGAUUGAUUGAUUGGACUCUUUCCACUACGCAUACUAAUUCUGGACCAUUUAAAGCUUAUAAGGUUUUAUAUUGAGAUUCAUUGAUUUCACAGUUAUAAAAUGAUGAAUGGGUUUUCAGCCAAGGGAAGGCAAUUGAUGUAAGCUUGAGGAGAGAGACCAAGAUAAUCAGUAUAUAGUGGAAAGUGCAGAGCUGCAAUGUUCCCUCUGUUUCUGUCCAGAUUUUCCCCAGAUGGAAGGGGAUCAAAGCGAUAGUAGGGCCAUGUUGGGCACUUUUGCCAAGUCUGCACCGCAGGCUUUGCUGCUUCCCAGCUCUGAUGUCCAGGUAAAGAUCUCCUGAUUAAAACAGAACUGGAGGAGCCAGCCUAUCCCUGGCUUCAUCAUAGCCACCA